GUCACUGGGUGUCACUGGGGUGUCACUUUGGGGCUGCAGCUGUGCAGGGCUCCCAGCCGAGGUCAUUCCUGCCAGCCUUACACCACUUCAGUACUGAGAAGCGAUUUUUGUCUGUGUGACCAGAAGAGAGCUAAUGCAGAGAAUUACCUGGCCCUGCUUUCAUGGUGGAUUCAAAUUGCUUUGAAGCUUUUCUUUCUGCAUCAAGUCAUGACUUGCCAGAGGCUUUGCAAGAAGAUUUGGCAUGCUGGAGAGUUAGAACCCUGUGACUUUACAACGUGAUGUCAGCCAUAAAGGAUUAUGACAUCAUUAAACAGAGAUGUAACAGAAUGAGGCAGGAAGGGACCUCAGCCUUCCCUGGAAGGGUUUGGAUGUGGUACCAAAGGCAGAGCACGUGGGAGCGCAUCUGGAUCACAUCUCAGCAUCAUCUCCUGCAGCCUGCCAGGGCACAGCAGGGAAACACUGCCUGGAGAGGGCUGGAAUCAGCCUUGCAGCCUGCCAGGGCACAGGAGGGAAAUGCCUGGAGAGGGCUGGAAUCAGCCUUGCAGACAGCUGGCAGUGCUCCCUGCCCAGCUGAGUGCUGCCUGGUGGCAGGGCUCAUCCCUGCCCGUUCCUGGCUCUCUUCUCCUGCCUGGCUGCAGGUGGAACAGAGCCCCAGAGUGAGUGGGGAGCCACAGCACUGAUGUCCUGUUUGAAGGAGGAAGCAGAGGGAAAGCUUCUUAUGUGUGUAUCCAGCCCUGGGUUCUUUUCUUCUUAAUUGAGCUGCUCUUGGAGAAGUUCUGAAUUUAUGACAGGGUAAAAUUCCUUGUUAUGAGGAAACCUGGAGACUUGAAAACAUAUAAAAGGAAAUUCAGUGUUGUGAUGUGGGAAACAUUCCUCAGCUCCUUGCAGUAACAACAUGUCAAUAUAUUUUUGUUGGCUUGACAAUAUGAAGGAAAUGUCUUUGAUUUUCUAAAAUUGCAUGUAAUUUCUCAACAUUUCUUUUGAUUCUAUUGAUUAAAGCUGUUCUGCCUGCCUAGAGACAUUAAAUAGCAAACCAUCUGCUAAAAGUGGAUUGGCAACAUGCCUGAAAAUUACCAUUUAAAAAAAAAAAGUUUAGCCUAAAUAUAUUUCAAAGACUGUUUCUAUUUGUGUUCUGAGAUGAAGGGGGAAGACAAAAGCUUCUGUUAUGGUCUGGCAAAAGGUUGCAAUAGCUGGUGAAAGAGCAGUUUUGUGUUGCCCCUGUGGGGAGAGAGGUGUUGUCUGUGGCAGGACACUCGUGGUGUGUGUUCAGCACCUGGGUCCCUUUGGCAGGGACAGGGAUGGGCAGCAGCCAGCCCAGAGCAUCCCCUGGGUGUGCAGAGCUGCCCUGCCUGCAGGCACUUGUUCCAGGGGCCAAGGGUGGCUUACACAGGAAUCCCUGAGCCCCAAGGGCUGCUGGAACACUGAGCUGGUAAAUACUAAACUGGGGUGACUGUGGAGAGUGGGGUUUUUGGGGUUUUUUUUUUGGUUAUGCUUAGUUCUACUCACCAGUGACUUUCUGCUUGCUGUUUUUCACAAAGACCUUCGUGUGAGCAGCUUUUGGGCUGUCAGUGGCUGUCCUGAAGCUGGAGCAGAAUGCUUCCAGGAACAAGAGCUCUCAGAAUGUUGAAGUGUUGGGUCAGCCACAGGGAAUGUUUCUUGGCAGGUUAAGGCAAAAACCUUGUGCAUUUUUUGUGUCUGUUUUUGCCAGGUAAGAAUGCCAUGUACCUUCUAUAAGAAAUGUGUUUCUCUGUCUUAGGGGAAGAAGGAACAGAGAGAAAGAGUUAUUCAGUGCUCUGUGUGAUGGCACAGAUUCAGUGGAAGAUAGUUCUGGGUAUUUGCUUCUUCAGCAACCGGAUUAUUAUUUCUGACCAUCCAGUUAAAACCAACUUCUAAGUAGUAAAGUAACCUCUGAAGGCACUCACACCCUUUCUGUUACUGAAAUAAAGAUAAAAGGGUUUUAUUUGAA